rnacentral:rRNA from 1 species
UACGUAGGGGGCAAGCGUUGUCCGGAUUUAUUGGGCGUAAAGAGCGUGUAGGCGGCCAGGUAGGUCAGCUGUGAAAACUCGAGGCUCAACCUCGAGACGUCGGCGGAAACCAUCUGGCUAGAGUCCGGAAGAGGAGAGUGGAGUUCCUGGUGUAGCGGUGAAAUGCGCAGAUAUCAGGAAGAACACCCGUGGCGAAGGCGGCUCUCUGGGACGGUACUGACGCUGAGACGCGAAAGCGUGGGGAGCGAACAGG